AGCGAACGCUGGCGGCAGGCCUAACACAUGCAAGUCGAACGAACCUUUCGGGGUUAGUGGCGGACGGGUGAGUAACCCGUGGGAACGUGCCUUUAUGUUCGGAAUAACUCAGGGAAACUUGUGCUAAUACCGAAUGUGCCCUUCUGGGGAAAGAUUUAUCUCCUUUAGAGCGGCCCGCUUCUGAUUAGCUAGUUGGUUGAGGUAAUGGCCCAGCAAGGCGACGAUCAGUAGCUGGUCUGAGAGGAUGAGCAGCCACAUUGGGACUGAGACACGGCCCAAACUCCUACGGAAGGCAGCAGUGGGGAAUCUUGCGCGAGGGGCGAAGACCUGACGCAGCCAUGCCGGGUGAAUGAUGAAGGUCUUAGGAUUGUAAAAUUCUUUCACCGGGGACGAUAAUGGCGGUACCCGGAGAAGAAGCCCCGGCUAACUACGUG
rnacentral:rRNA from 1 species